GAUGAACGCUGGCGGCGUGCCUAACACAUGCAAGUCGAACGGAAAGGCGCUGCUUUUGUGGGGUUCUCGAGUGGCGAACGGGUGUGUAACACGUGAGUAACCUGCCCUUGACUUUGUGAUAUCUUCAGGAAACUGCGGCUAAUACAGGCUAGGAGCUCCUGCUGCAUGGUGGUCGUUGGACAGUUUCGGCGGUGGGGGAUGGACUGGCGGCUUAUCAGCUUGUUGGUGGGGGAGUGGCUUACGAAGGCUUAGGCGGGUAGCCGGCCUGAGAGGUUGAACAGGCACAAGGGUACUGAGGGACGCAGCAGACGCGAACGGGAGGCAGCGGGCGGGAAUAUUGCACAAUGAGGGGAAGCGUGAUGCAGCGGUGCCGCGAGCGUGAAGACGGCUUACGUGGUAUAAACCGCUGUCGCCUGAUACGAAGCGUGAGUGACGGUAAUGGGUAAAGAAGCACCGGCUAACUACGUG
rnacentral:rRNA from 1 species